rnacentral:rRNA from 1 species
GGCUCAGGAUGAACGCUAGCUACAGGCUUAACACAUGCAAGUCGAGGGGCAGCAUGGUCUUAGCUUGCUAAGGCCGAUGGCGACCGGCGCACGGGUGAGUAACACGUAUCCAACCUGCCGUCUACUCUUGGACAGCCUUCUGAAAGGAAGAUUAAUACAAGAUGGCAUCAUGAGUCCGCAUGUUCACAUGAUUAAAGGUAUUCCGGUAGACGAUGGGGAUGCGUUCCAUUACAUAGUAGGCGGGGUAACGGCCCACCUAGUCUUCGAUGGAUAGGGGUUCUGAGAGGAAGGUCCCCCACAUUGGAACUGAGACACGGUCCAAACUCCUACGGGAGGCAGCAGUGAGGAAUAUUGGUCAAUGGGCGAGAGCCUGAACCAGCCAAGUAGCGUGAAGGAUGACUGCCCUAUGGGUUGUAAACUUCUUUUAUAAAGGAAUAAAGUCGGGUAUGGAUACCCGUUUGCAUGUACUUUAUGAAUAAGGAUCGGCUAACUCCGUGCCAGCAGCCGCGGUAAUACGGAGGAUCCGAGCGUUAUCCGGAUUUAUUGGGUUUAAAGGGAGCGUACAUGGAUGUUUAAGUCACUUGUGAAAGUUUGCGGCUCAACCGUAAAAUUGCAGUUGAUACUGGAUAUCUUGAGUGCAGGUGAGGCAGGCGGAAUUCGUGGUGUAGCGGUGAAAUGCUUAGAUAUCACGAAGAACUCCGAUUGCGAAGGCAGCCUGCUAAGCUGCAACUGACAUUGAGGCUCGAAAGUGUGGGUAUCAAACAGGAUUAGAUACCCUGGUAGUCCACACGGUAAACGAUGAAUACUCGCUGUUUGCGAUAUACUGCAAGCGGCCAAGCGAAAGCGUUAAGUAUUCCACCUGGGGAGUACGCCGGCAACGGUGAAACUCAAAGGAAUUGACGGGGGCCCGCACAAGCGGAGGAACAUGUGGUUUAAUUCGAUGAUACGCGAGGAACCUUACCCGGGCUUAAAUUGCAGAUGAAUUACGGUGAAAGCCGUAAGCCGCAAGGCAUCUGUGAAGGUGCUGCAUGGUUGUCGUCAGCUCGUGCCGUGAGGUGUCGGCUUAAGUGCCAUAACGAGCGCAACCCUUGCUGUCAGUUACUAACAGGUUCCGCUGAGGACUCUGACAAGACUGCCAUCGUAAGAUGUGAGGAAGGUGGGGAUGACGUCAAAUCAGCACGGCCCUUACGUCCGGGGCUACACACGUGUUACAAUGGGGGGUACAGAGGGCCGCUACCACGCGAGUGGAUGCCAAUCCCCAAAACCUCUCUCAGUUCGGACUGGAGUCUGCAACCCGACUCCACGAAGCUGGAUUCGCUAGUAAUCGCGCAUCAGCCACGGCGCGGUGAAUACGUUCCCGGGCCUUGUACACACCGCCCGUCAAGCCAUGGGAGCCGGGGGUACCUGAAGUGCGUAACCGCGAGGAGCGCCCUAGGGUAAAA